AUGAACGCUGGCGGCGUGCCUCAUACAUGCAAGUCGAGCGAACGGACGAGAAGCUUGCUUCUCUGAUGUUAGCGGCGGACGGGUGAGUAACACGUGGAUAACCUACCUAUAAGACUGGGAUAACUUCGGGAAACCGGAGCUAAUACCGGAUAAUAUUUUGAACCGCAUGGUUCAAAAGUAAAAGACGGUCUUGCUGUCACUUAUAGAUGGAUCCGCGCUGCAUUAGCUAGUUGGUAAGGUAACGGCUUACCAAGGCAACGAUGCAUAGCCGACCUGAGAGGGUGAUCGGCCACACUGGAACUGAGACACGGUCCAGACUCCUACGGGAGGCAGCAGUAGGGAAUCUUCCGCAAUGGGCGAAAGCCUGACGGAGCAACGCCGCGUGAGUGAUGAAGGUCUUCGGAUCGUAAAACUCUGUUAUUAGGGAAGAACAUAUGUGUAAGUAACUGUGCACAUCUUGACGGUACCUAAUCAGAAAGCCACGGCUAACUACGUGC
rnacentral:rRNA from 1 species